rnacentral:misc_RNA from 1 species
AUAAACUGUAGCAAAUAUUUCUGACAGAUUAACAGGUGCAAUAAGAGGUUAUUGUUCAAAACUCGCAUCCUCCGAUAGCGUUUUCAGGCUGCUAAGGACAACCCAAACAUAUUUUUGAAAACACAGUGGUAUCUUGCUCAGCUUGCGUGCACCUCGAUCAAUCUUUACUUUAUGAAUGUGUAAUUUUAUCCACAUAAAGCAGCCCUUCCCUAAUUCCCUCUAUUUUCCUUAUCCAUGUCUCUUCCUCAGUGGGCCUCAAAAUAUUAGGCA